UGGCACCUCGAUGUCGGCUCAUCACAUCCUGGGGCUGGAGCAGGUCCCAAGGGUAUGGCUGUUCGCCAUUUAAAGUGGUACGCGAGCUGGGUUUAGAACGUCGUGAGACAGUUCGGUCCCUAUCUACCGUGGGCGUUGGAGACUUGAGGGAAGCUGUUCUUAGUACGAGAGGACCGGAGUGGACAAACCUCUGGUGUACCAGUUGUCGCGUCAGCGGCAUGGCUGGGUAGCUAUGUUUGGUGUGGAUAACCGCUGAAAGCAUCUAAGCGGGAAGCCCAACCUAAGAAAAUUUUCCCCAUGAACCUCCUUGUAGACUACGAGGUUGAUAGGCCACAGGUAUAAGCGCAGCGAUGCGUGUGCCGAGUGGUACUAAUAGGUCA
rnacentral:rRNA from 1 species